rnacentral:rRNA from 1 species
GGUGAACGCUGGCGGCAUGCCUAAUACAUGCAAGUCGAGCGAAUGGAUUAAGAGCUUGCUCUUAUGAAGUUAGCGGCGGACGGGUGAGUAACACGUGGGUAACCUGCCCAUAAGACUGGGAUAACUCCGGGAAACCGGGGCUAAUACCGGAUAACAUUUUGAACCGCAUGGUUCGAAAUUGAAAGGCGGCUUCGGCUGUCACUUAUGGAUGGACCCGCGUCGCAUUAGCUAGUUGGGGAGGUAACGGCUCACCAAGGCAACGAUGCGUAGCCGACCUGAGAGGGUGAUCGGCCACACUGGGACUGAGACACGGCCCAGACUCCUACGGGAGGCAGCAGUAGGGAAUCUUCCGCAAUGGACGAAAGUCUGACGGAGCAACGCCGCGUGAGUGAUGAAGGCUUUCGGGUCGUAAAACUCUGUUGUUAGGGAAGAACAAGUGCUAGUUGAAUAAGCUGGCACCUUGACGGUACCUAACCAGAAAGCCACGGCUAACUACGUGCCAGCCGCCGCAGUAA